UGAGGAAUAUUGGUCAAUGGGCGAGAGCCUGAACCAGCCAAGUAGCGUGCAGGAUGACGGCCCUAUGGGUUGUAAACUGCUCUUAUGUGGGGAUAAAGUGCGUGACGUGUCAUGCAUUGCAGGUACCACAUGAAUAAGGACCGGCUAAUUCCGUGCCAGCAGCCGCGGUAAUACGGAAGGUCCGGGCGUUAUCCGGAUUUACUGGGUUUAAAGGGAGCGUAGGCUGUCUAUUAAGCGUGUUGUUAAAUUUACCGGCUCAACCGGUGGCUUGCAGCGCGAACUGGUCGACUUGAGUAUGCAGGAAGUAGGCGGAAUUCAUGGUGUAGCGGUGAAAUGCUUAGAUGUCAUGACGAACUACAAUUGCGCAGGCAGCUUGCUGUAGCAUACCUGAAGCUAAUGCUCUAAAGUACGGGUAUCAAACAGG
rnacentral:rRNA from 1 species